AGAGUUUGAUCAUGGCUCAGGAUGAACGCUGGCGGUAUGCCUAACACAUGCAAGUCGAACGAUGUCUUCGGACAUAGUGGCGGACGGGUGAGUAACGCGUGAGAAUCUGCCUCUAGGAUGGGGAUAACGGUUGGAAACGACCGCUAACACCCAAUAUGCCGUAAGGUGAAAAAUUUAUUGCCUGGAGAGGAGCUCGCGUCUGAUUAGCUAGUUGGUGGGGUAAGAGCUCACCAAGGCCUCGAUCAGUAGCUGGUCUGAGAGGAUGAGCAGCCACACUGGGACUGAGACACGGCCCAGACUCCUACGGGAGGCAGCAGUGGGGAAUUUUCCGCAAUGGGCGAAAGCCUGACGGAGCAAUACCGCGUGAGGGAGGAAUGCCUUUGGGUUGUAAACCUCUUUUCUCAGGGAAGAAGAUCUGACGGUACCUGAGGAAUAAGUAUCGGCUAACUCCGUGCCAGCAGCCGCGGUAAUACGGAGGAUGCAAGCGUUAUCCGGAAUCAUUGGGCGUAAAGCGUCCGCAGGUGGUUUCCAAAGUCUGCUGUUAAAGACUGGAGCUCAACUCCGGAACGGCGGUGGAAACUUGGAAACUAGAGUUCGGUAGGGGUAGCAGGAAUUCCCAGUGUAGCGGUGAAAUGCGUAGAUAUUGGGAAGAACAUCGGUGGCGAAGGCGUGCUACUGGACCGUAACUGACACUCAGGGACGAAAGCUAGGGGAGCGAAAGGGAUUAGAUACCCCUGUAGUCCUAGCUGUAAACGAUGGAAACUAGGUGUGGCUUGUAUCGACCCGAGCCGUGCCGUAGCUAACGCGUUAAGUUUCCCGCCUGGGGAGUAC
rnacentral:rRNA from 1 species